GGGCGAGCUGGGCUGCAGCGGCGUCCGAUAGGGUGAUGGAGGCUGGGGGGGACAAGGGGGGGAAGGGUUUUAGGGGGGGGAGAGGGGUCCUAUGGGGUCGGAUGUGAGCCACAAGGAACCCAAAAGGACCCGCUAAUUGGAUCCUGGUGGUCCUAUGGGGUCAGAUGUGAGCCCCAAGGACCCCAAAAGGAACCACAGUUUGGAUCCAGGUGGUGCUAUGGGGUCGGAUGUGAGCCACAAGGAACCCAAAAGGAACCGCAGAUUGGGUCCAGGUGGUGCUAUGGGGUCAGACGUGAGCCCCAAGGACCCCAAAAGGACCCACAGAUUGGAUCCUGGUGGUCCUAUGGGGUCGGAUGUGAGCCACAAGGAACCCAAAAGGACCCACAGAUUGGAUCCUGGUGGUCCUAUGGGGUCAGACGUGAGCCACGAGGAACCCAAAAGGACCCGCUGAUUGGAUCCUGGUGGUCCUAUGGGGUCGGAUGUGAGCCACAAGGAACCCAAAAGGACCCACAGAUUGGAUCCUGGUGGUCCUAUGGGGUCAGAUGUGAGCCACAAGGAACCCAAAAGGACACAAAGGGUCAUCAAAAGGACCCACAGAUUGGAUACUGGUGGUCCUAUGGGGUCGGAUGUGAGCCACGAGGAACCCAAAAGGACCCGCUGAUUGGGUCCUGGUGGUCCUAUGGGGUCAGAUGUGAGCCACAAGGACCCCAAAAGGACCCACAGAUUGGGUCCUGGUGGUGCUAUGGGGUCAGACGUGAGCCCCAAGGACCCCAAAAGGACCCACAGAUUGGAUCCUGGUGGUCCUAUGGGGUCAGAUGUGAGCCACAAGGACCCCAAAAGGACCCACUGAUUGGGUCCUGGUGGUGCUAUGGGGUCAGACGUGAGCCCCAAGGACCCCAAAAGGACCCAGAGAUUGGAUCCUGGUGGUCCUACAAGGUCAUCUGGGAGCCCCAAGGACCCCAAAAGGACCCACUGAUUGGGUCCUGGUGGUGCUAUGGGGUCAGACGUGAGCCACAAGGACCCCAAAAGGACCCACAGAUUGGAUCCUGGUGGUCCUAUGGGGUCAGACGUGAGCCCCAAGGACCCCAAAAGGACACAGAGGGUCAUCAAAAGGACCCACAGAUUGGAUCCUGAUGGUCCUAUGGGGUCAUCUGAGACACCCAACCACCCCAGUGAUCCUAAAA
rnacentral:lncRNA from 1 species